rnacentral:rRNA from 1 species
GCGCGUAGGUGGUUUGUUAAGUUGGAUGUGAAAGCCCCGGCCUCAACCUGGGAACUGCAUCCGAAACUGGCAAGCUAGAGUACGGUAGAGGGUGGUGGAAUUUCCUGUGUAGCGGUGAAAUGCGUAGAUAUGGGAAGGAACACCAGUGGCGAAGGCGACCUCCUGGACUGAUACUGACUCUGAGGUGCGAAAGCCUGGGGAGCAAACAGGAUUAGA